GACGAACGCUGGCGGCGUGCUUAACACAUGCAAGUCGAACGGAAAGGCCCUGCUUUUGUGGGGUGCUCGAGUGGCGAACGGGUGAGUAACACGUGAGUAACCUGCCCUUGACUUUGGGAUAACUUCAGGAAACUGGGGCUAAUACCGGAUAGGAGCUCCUGCUGCAUGGUGGGGGUUGGAAAGUUUCGGCGGUUGGGGAUGGACUCGCGGCUUAUCAGCUUGUUGGUGGGGUAGUGGCUUACCAAGGCUUUGACGGGUAGCCGGCCUGAGAGGUUGACCAGCCACAUUGGGACUGAGAGACGGCGCAGACGCCUACGGUAGGCAGCAGUGGGGAGUAUUGCACAAUGGGCGGAAGCCUGAUGCAGCAACGCCGCGUGCGGGAUGACGGCCUUCGGGUUAUAAACCGCUUUCGCCGGUGACGAGGCGUGAGUGACGGUAAUGGGUAAAGAAGCACCGGCUAACUACGUG
rnacentral:rRNA from 1 species